CCAAUAGCGUAUAUUAAAGUUGUUGCAGUUAAAAAGCUCGUAGUUGAACUUCGGGGUCUACCCAUUGGUCAGGCUUAAUUGUCUGCACUGGUGAGAUGGAUCUCUACCUUCUGAGGAACUUUCAUGCCAUUUAUUUAGUGUGAUUGGAAAUCAGGACUGUUACUUUGAAAAAAUUAGAGUGUUUAAAGCAGACUAUCGUCUGAAUACAUUAGCAUGGAAUAAUGAAAUAGGACGGACUGAUUUUAUUUCGUUGGUUUCUAGGAUCACCGUAAUGAUUAAUAGGGAUAGUUGGGGGCAUUAGUAUUCAAUUGUCAGAGGUGAAAUUCUUGGAUUUAUUGAAGACUAACUACUGCGAAAGCAUUUGCCAAGGAUGUUUUCAUUAAUCAAGAACGAAAGUUAGGGGAUCGAAGACGAUCAGAUACCGUCGUAGUCUUAACCAUAAACUAUGCCGACUAGGGAUCGGACGAAGUUAAUUUUAUAAUGACGCGUUCGGCACCUUACG
rnacentral:rRNA from 1 species